GGGCGCUUAGCUCAGCGGUAGAGCACUGCUCUUACAAAGCAGUGGUCACUGGUUCGAUCCCAGUAGCGCCCACCA
rnacentral:tRNA from 1 species